rnacentral:lncRNA from 1 species
UCCACGGCAUCGUUGGGGUUAAGCCACUUAGCUAUGGAGGCAAGUGAAUGUGCAACAAGGGAUCUCUAACCUUCAAACCGUUUGAGGGAGAAUACUCUAUGAUAUGAUUUGGAAUCUCUGGCCAGAGUAUGAAUGAGAUUUAGGAAGUCGUUCCAAAUCACAUUCAAGGUAAUCAUAUAAGCACACGAAUUACAUUGGAUAGUAGACAUGAAUAAAUAAACUAUCAAACCAAACAAUGUGGUCAAGAGUAUUGUAUUAGAGAAAGACCGUAUUGCAUUUGUAAUCCUAAAUUGAAUAGGUUCUCCACCUCUUCUGAUUAGCUUGGGUAACCAUGAUAUGCUGCUAGGUGUCACUCAUGGUUUGU